UGAAGAGUUUGAUCAUGGCUCAGAUUGAACGCUGGCGGCAGGCCUAACACAUGCAAGUCGAACGGUAACAGGAAGCAGCUUGCUGCUUUGCUGACGAGUGGCGGACGGGUGAGUAAUGUCUGGGAAACUGCCUGAUGGAGGGGGAUAACUACUGGAAACGGUGGCUAAUACCGCAUAACGUCGCAAGACCAAAGAGGGGGACCUUCGGGCCUCUUGCCAUCAGAUGUGCCCAGAUGGGAUUAGCUUGUUGGUGAGGUAACGGCUCACCAAGGCGACGAUCCCUAGCUGGUCUGAGAGGAUGACCAGCCACACUGGAACUGAGACACGGUCCAGACUCCUACGGGAGGCAGCAGUG
rnacentral:rRNA from 2 species